AUUGAACGCUGGCGGCAGGCCUAACACAUGCAAGUCGAGCGGAUGAAGGGAGCUUGCUCCUGGAUUCAGCGGCGGACGGGUGAGUAAUGCCUAGGAAUCUGCCUGGUAGUGGGGGAUAACGUCCGGAAACGGGCGCUAAUACCGCAUACGUCCUGAGGGAGAAAGUGGGGGAUCUUCGGACCUCACGCUAUCAGAUGAGCCUAGGUCGGAUUAGCUAGUUGGUGGGGUAAAGGCCUACCAAGGCGACGAUCCGUAACUGGUCUGAGAGGCUGAUCAGUCACACUGGAACUGAGACACGGUCCAGACUCCUACGGGAGGCAGCAGUGGGGAAUAUUGGACGAUGGGCGAAAGCCUGAUCCAGCCAUGCCGCGUGUGUGAAGAAGGUCUUCGGAUUGUAAAGCACUUUAAGUUGGGAGGAAGGGCAGCAAGUUAAUACCUUGCUGUUUUGACGUUACCAACAGAAUAAGCACCGGCUAACUUCGUG
rnacentral:rRNA from 1 species